UUCCGGUUGAUCCUGCCGGAGGUUACUGCUAUCGAGGUUCGACUAAGCCAUGCGAGUCGAAUGUAGCAAUACAUGGCGAACUGCUCAGUAACACGUGGACAACCUGCCCUUAGGUUGGGUAUAAACCCGGGAAACUGGGUAUAAUACCCGAUAGGUCUCGAUUGCUGGAAUGCAUCGAGAUUUAAAGCUCCGGCGCCUAAGGAUGGGUCUGCGGCCUAUCAGGUAGUAGUGGGUGUAGCGUACCUACUAGCCUACGACGGGUAUGGGUUGUGAGAGCAAGAGCCCGGAGAUGGAUUCUGAGACACGAAUCCAGGCCCUACGGGGUGCAGCAGGCGCGAAAACUUUACAAUGCUGGCAACAGCGAUAAGGGAACCUCGAGUGCCAGGUUACAAAUCUGGCUGUCGAGAUGCCUAAAAAGCAUUUCAUAGCAAGGGCCGGGCAAGACCGGUGCCAGCCGCCGCGGUAACACCGGCGGCUCGAGUGGUAACCGUUAUUAUUGGGUCUAAAGGGUCUGUAGCCGGCCGGAUAAGUCUCUUGAGGAAUCUGGCAGCUUAACUGUCAGGCUUUCAGGAGAUACUGUCUGGCUCGAGGCCGGGAGAGGUGAGAGGUACUUCAGGGGUAGGGGUGAAAUCUUGUAAUCCUUGAAGGACCACCAGUGGCGAAGGCGUCUCACCAGAACGGACCUGACGGCAAGGGACGAAAGCUAGGGGCACGAACCGGAUUAGAUACCCGGGUAGUCCUAGCCGUAAACGAUACUCGCUAGGUGUCGGCCACGGUGCGACCGUUGUCGGUGCCGUAGGGAAGCCGUGAAGCGAGCCACCUGGGAAGUACGGCC
rnacentral:rRNA from 1 species